rnacentral:rRNA from 1 species
UACGUAGGGACCAAGCGUUGUUCGGAUUUACUGGGCGUAAAGGGCGCGUAGGCGGCCUAUUAAGUCAGCUGUGAAAUCUCCGAGCUUAACUCGGAACUGUCAGCUGAUACUGAUGUGCUAGAGUGCAGAAGGGGCAAUCGGAAUUCUUGGUGUAGCGGUGAAAUGCGUAGAUAUCAAGAGGAACACCUGAGGUGAAGACGGGUUGCUGGGCUGACACUGACGCUGAUAGCGCGAAAGCCAGGGGAGCAAACGGG